rnacentral:lncRNA from 1 species
AGGAUCCGACGAACCAAAGAUUCAAUUUCUCCAUCCUUCCAAACCUGGUGAUGUCCUUAAGGAGGGUGACCUUAAGGAACACUCGAUCACCUUUCUAAAAUUUUAGAUCUCUCCUUCAGGUAUCCACAUAACUCUUCUAUCUACUUUGGGUCUUUUGAAUGGUUUUCUUAAUUUUGACAAUCUUCAUUGUGGUCUCAGCUAUAAGAUCUGGGCCAAUAAAUUUCUUAUCACUCACUUCUUUCCAACAGAUUAGUGACCUACAAGAUCGAUCAUACAAUGCCUCAUACGAAACCAUACCAAUAUUUGUCUGAUAACUAUUAUUGUCGGUGAACU